CUGCUUACUUGGACAGCAUGUACAUUAAAACUGGAACUGCCCAGGGGAGAUCAGCAUUGCCCCAACGAAUGGGUGGCAUGCAAGUCUAUGUAAGAGCCAUAGUUUUAU
rnacentral:snRNA from 1 species